rnacentral:rRNA from 1 species
GAUGAACGCUGGCGGCGUGCCUAAUACAUGCAAGUCGAGCGAACAGACGAGGAGCUUGCUCCUCUGACGUUAGCGGCGGACGGGUGAGUAACACGUGGAUAACCUACCUAUAAGACUGGGAUAACUUCGGGAAACCGGAGCUAAUACCGGAUAAUAUUUUGAACCGCAUGGUUCAAUAGUGAAAGACGGUUUUGCUGUCACUUAUAGAUGGAUCUGCGCCGCAUUAGCUAGUUGGUAAGGUAACGGCUUACCAAGGCAACGAUGCGUAGCCGACCUGAGAGGGUGAUCGGCCACACUGGAACUGAGACACGGUCCAGACUCCUACGGGAGGCAGCAGUAGGGAAUCUUCCGCAAUGGGCGAAAGCCUGACGGAGCAACGCCGCGUGAGUGAUGAAGGUCUUCGGAUCGUAAAACUCUGUUAUUAGGGAAGAACAAAUGUGUAAGUAACUAUGCACGUCUUGACGGUACCUAAUCAGAAAGCCACGGCUAACUACGUG